AGUCGAGUAUCGAGUAUUCAAGGAUCGAGGUGUGGAAAUUGGUGUAGGUAGGAUUGUUGCGUCGGUCGAUGUAGUUGGAUUGCAACGCGCGUUGAUGCACGGGUUUGAUAAAGUGAUAAAGUGUGGAUUGAUGAGGUUUUAUUGGGCGGAUAAAAAGUACUUCGAGGACGAAAUAAAUAUUUUCAAAAACAAUUCAACCACUUGGCGCCACGAAACAACCAAUGAUCGUAGCCGCGGGGAAGCACAGAUUUCUGAAAGUUUAUCUCGUGUUAUUCGUUUUCAACAACAACUAGCUCAAACCUUAGAACCGAAGUUAUCGACAAAGAUGAAGUUCAUGCGGCUGAAAUUUAACCGAACCACGCCUAAAGCGCGCCUCGCGGCCUUCCAUCUCCAAUUCAAUGAACCAACUAACGUACUCUGAUCAAUCAUUCAAAUAUCAUCCCAACCGUGAUAAAUAUCGAGUUUAAACAUCCCCUUUAGCUUCGAACGCGUUAAAAAUUAAUUAAAUUCCCUGUCAAAUCGAUCUUUCUAUGCCAUUAUUUAGAUACUCUUUUAAAUAAAAUAAAGCUGAAUGGUUAAAGAUCA